UUCAGGAAGACUAUUUCUUCUUCUCCGUUAUGGUAGACAGGAUAGGAAUUUUUCAGGACAGUUGAAAUGUUACCGUUUAAUCAUAGCAUCCUAGGCGUUAGUGAGAAGUCUCUCAUCUAAGAAGGCAGGACUGUUGUCAACAGGCUUAUUGAUCUGAUCUCUUUUGACUUUCUUUAGCUGGGUCUUGAAAAUUUCCAGGGGUGCAAAUUCUGUCACCUUUCUGAUGCCCUGUCCCAGGACUGCACCACUUCCCUGGUUGCUACCAGAUGUGCAAUGCGGGAUGCACAGAAAACAAAUGAAGACGCAGCUCCUGAAACCAAGUCUUCUCCUCACUACCACACUUCACCAAGGUGUGAAAAGGGUGUGUCACUGGGAGAGAUCAGGGGAAUAACUACACCAAUAACAGCGCCCUAUUAAAAAAAUACUUUGCUUUGGAAUACAUCUUUAAUAUCUACGCACAUUUAUUUCAAGGCUUCAGAACAACUUUUUCAACAACAGCAAACUGCUUAAAAAACAUUCUCAUAAAUUAUCUUCACAAAAAAUAAAGUCAAUCUUUAGGAAAUCACAUUCAGUACAACACUUGUGUCAGUACAAAGUCUGUUCUGUAAGUUCAUGGCAGAAAGGCCAUAAUCAACAUCUAAAUUUCUCCAAAGGGGCAUAGUUAGGAGUCUAAACCAGAAGGCAACUAUUUCAUUAGUUGUCACAGGAAGCAGAAACAAUGCUUCCAAAACACAAAGGAGAGCAUUGUUGCAAUGGACAUGUAUGGGUUUACAAUCAAUAGUCACUGUCCUGUAAACAUUGAAACUGCUGGUCUAACUGUACAUUUAGAAAUAAUUUUAGUAAGUUGCAUUCAAUUCACUACAUUCCAUACAUAAAAUGGAAAAAUUUUUAGUCCAAAAAAAAAAAAAAAAAA